rnacentral:rRNA from 16 species
AGAUGUGAUCAUACCAGCACUAAAGCGCCGGAUCCCAUCAGAACCCCGAAGUUAAGCGUGCUUGGGUGAGAGUAGUACUAGGAUGGCUGACCUCCUGGGAAGUCCUGAUUUUGCAUUCA